AACGAACGCUGGCGGCAUGCCUAACACAUGCAAGUCGAACGAGACCUUCGGGUCUAGUGGCGCACGGGUGCGUAACGCGUGGGAACCUGCCCUUAGGUUCGGAAUAACUCCCCGAAAGGGGUGCUAAUACCGGAUAAUGUCUUCGGACCAAAGAUUUAUCGCCUUUGGAUGGGCCCGCGUUGGAUUAGCUAGUUGGUAGGGUAAAAGCCAACCAAGGCGACGAUACAUAGCUGGUCUGAGAGGAAGGUCAGCCACACUGGGACUGAGACACGACCCAGACUCCUACGGGAGGCAGCAGUGAGGAAUAUUGGACAAUGGGCGGUAGCCUGAUCCUGCAAUGCCGCGUGAGUGAUGAAGGCCUUAGGGUUGUAAAGCUCUUUUACCCGGGAUGAUAAUGACAGUACCGGGAGAAUAAGCUCCGGCUAACUACGUG
rnacentral:rRNA from 1 species